GGGGCUACAUUCCACAGACCUGUAUCAAAAAUAAUUCAAAUUCUUCCUACCUACUUUGUUAUCCUCAUAUAAAUAAAAAGUAUUCUGUAAAAUAUUUGUACUCCUAAAAUAUGUUAGUAUCAACAAAAGAAUAAAUAAAAUUCAAAUUCUUUUGCAACUUUUCAAUUCCUCACUGUUUCUCAAUUACCUCAGUAUUGUUCUGUGACCAUCUUUAAGUAGUUACACUUCACAAAUUGAAGGAUGAGUCCCCUGAUUAAAGGGCAUCAACACUAUAGAAAAUUACUUUCUUUCUUUAAAGAUAAAAGAUGAUAGCUGAAGAAAAUGCUGAUGGAAAAUGGAGUGAGAAGAAAAUGAAAAAAGAGGAUGACUUGAGGACAGUGGAGUGUCUAAGAGGAAGAUGCAGAGCUUAUAGGAAAAAAGCUGAUUGAACUAGAGAAAAAGUUGAAAGAAGAGAACAAAUCAAGAAACAAAGCUGAGAAAAAGCUCAAAUAUUUAAUGAAGAAGCUUGAAUCCAUGAACAUAUCUUAUGUUUCAGAUGAAUCAGAACACUCAAGUUUGUUUGAUAAAAGUGAAAUUUCAUCUGUUACUUUCUCUGAAGAUAAAGAACAAAGUUCCCAAUUUCAAGAUUCUAUUGGGAGUACAAAAUGCAGCUCUGAAUAUCUUGUGGAACAUUCUCAAGAGCACAUAUCCCAAGAAAAGUCGAUCAACUUUAAGCAAAAUGCUUUGCAAAUUGCUAUUUUUAGGAAAGAUGAUGAUAACAAUUCUAAGGGUAGAGAAGUUCUUGGAAAAUCAAGUGAGCUUGACUUCUCAAACUCAGAUUCCAAUAGAUAUUUCAAAAAUUUCAGUCCAAGAAGAGGAAGGGGAAAAUGGAGAAGAUGAAAGGGAUUUUCAAGAAGACAAUGUCAAUAACUCUUUGGCAUUAGUUCCUAUAGAUUUGCCAAAACCAAAGGAAACAAUUGAUCCAAUCGUUCUUGAUGCUACUGUAAGAGAAGUUCUUAAUGCACUGAGGCAUGCUAAAGAGAAACUUCAGACUCGAAUGGAGAGAGGACGUACGAUUAAAGUUGGCUAACUUAGAUGACAUGUAAUUCGUCCUGAUUUAGAAUAUCACGAGACUAAUCAGUAUUUAGAGUUAGCGAAUUCAAGCUAAACGUGAUCUUAUUAUAUGUAUAUAUUUUAAUUUUUCUUUCUUGCAUCAAGGAUAUAUUGUUCGUGCCGAAAGCAAUGGGAUCAGCUGAAAGGUUGUUUUUGCAUGACUUCUCUCGCUCAUCUCUAGUCUUUAUAAGCAUGUAUUUUAAUUAAGAAAAUGAAGCAUUGAGAUGGACUAUAUAUUGGAUGUUUAAAAUUUUGAAUUUUGCGUUGAUUUA